rnacentral:lncRNA from 13 species
AUGCGUCAGUACAGGAUAUACUAUACUGCACUAUGCAUCAGUACAGGAUAUACUAUACUGCACUAUGCAUCAGUACAGGAUAUACUAUACUGCACUAUGCAUCAGUACAGGAUAUACUAUACUGCACUAUGCAUCAGUACAGGAUAUACUAUACUGCACUAUGCAUCAGUACAGGAUAUACUAUACUGCACUAUGCAUCAGUACAGGAUAUACUAUACUGCACUAUGCAUCAGUACAGGAUAUACUAUACUGCACUAUGCAUCAGUACAGGAUAUACUAUACUGCACUAUGCAUCAGUACAGGAUAUACUAUACUGCACUAUGCGUCAGUAGAGGAUAUACUAUACUGCACUAUGCAUCAGUACAGGAUAUACUAUACUGCACUAUGCGUCAGUGGGAAGUAGGGUGAAGAUGCCCCUAGACAAUGGCAUCAGUUUCCGCCUACUUAUGGUUAAGGACUACCGAUUUAGGGAGGAUAAACUGAUCCUAGAUCUGUCGCUACAGUGGGUACAUUUACCACUAUUGUAGCCUAUCAUGCAUUCUAUCAUUAGGGUUUUAUCAUACUGGCUGGUGCAUUUUGCCCUGGUGCCAUACGACUGUAGUUCCCUCUCUGUUCCUCUCUCCAACACCUCCUGCUGAGAUCACAAGCAUAAUAGCAGUCCACAACUCUCUGACACAGUGAAGACGCAUUGGGGAGAGCAAGAUGGCAAAAAUGACAGUUAGAGAAAGACAGAGAGAACACAUUGAUUUAGCAAGACCAACAAACACAGGGGAAAGAUAGAGACCAACAAACACAGGGGAAAGACAGAGACCAACAAACACAGGGGAAAGAUAGAGACCAACAAACACAGGGGAAAGAUAGAGACGAACACACAAGAAAUAGAUUAGAAAGAGAAGACAGGCAGUGAAGGAAGUUAAAAGGAGAGGCAGAAAGAGGGAGGGAGGAGUAGAGGCUGAAGGAGGGAAGGAGGGAGGAAGCGAGAGAGCGGACAGAGGACGAACUGUCACCCCACCUGCUCUGCAGUCAGUCCCUGCAGUAAUUGACUGACAGUAAACACAGCAGCGCUGAGUCCUCUGGUAUUUCUAGGAAAUGUAAUUUGUCUGAUCUAUCCAUGUUGUCUGCAGUGGGAGAGUGGCAAUACAAACUGACAACCCGCAAAUCACAGCCCGACCCUGAGAUGGGCCUUUUCCAUUACGUUUCAGCGCCCUAAAAACAGGAUAUUUCAAUGGUAAAAUGUCAAUACAUUACAAUGUAUUUAUGGCGUGAAAGGCUUUUUCCUACCGUGUUCCACUUGUGUCACAAAAGAGCCAUAAGAUAUUUGAGUAGAAACAUGUCAAUAUGUUAUAGUUGUAUUCAUGGUGUGUGUUACCGUUCUGUGUAUUUGUCACGUAUUGAGCAGUCGUUUCUAGGAGACGUGUGUUAUUCUAAUCCGUGAUCGAUAAAGCUGUUGUCACUUUGAAUUGGACAAAGGAAAGGAAAAAAAAGACAUCUCUUUCCCUGUAUUGGGUUUAAAAAGACAUCUCUUUCCCUGCAUUGGGUUUAAAAAUACAUCUCUUUCCCUGCAUUGGGUUUAAAAAGACAUCUCUUUCCCUG